rnacentral:lncRNA from 1 species
AAGAAAAACUGAAUUUACUUCCUGCAAAAGUUUAGUAAGAUGUGGGAUACAAUUUAAACCUUACUUUAAAGACAAUUUCCAGGGUAGAGGACAGCAUUAUAGUAUUGUGCCAAAAGCAAGCUAAUGCAUAUGAGUGAUGCAGCAUCAGGUGGCUAAAAUAAUUACAUCCUCACCGGUUUCAACAUAUCAGAUCAGACAUCCUGGAUAUCUACCUUCCCUUGAUACACACUUAACAGUUCAGGUACUUUGCCAAGAUAUCCGUUCACAAAACUCUCCAAGAACUGCUUCUCUGCCGGUUUCAGCAGAGAACCCAGAUUCAAGUUCCCAUUUAUGAAACCUUUCGACAACAGAACUUUAACAACAGAGCACCUUGGGAUAAGUCUCUUCUCUAUACUGAGACCGAGGACCACAGGAUAUUUGGCAAUCAUUCCUGACGACCAUCCCAUCUUGUUCACUAAAAGAUCCAUUGCUUGCAUAAGUUUCUUCUCCGAGACAAUCAUAGACAGCGGGUUCUUCCUGAAAGCGGAGAGAAAAUCAUCCUCAGACCAACCCCAUGUCUUAAGAACUUCACGACUUCUAUUCAAUACCAACUUAUUCUUACCACACAAUGCACACAGGGCAUUCACUGAAGUUGAUUUUUCCAGAUUAAAUCCCAUUUCCUUAACCUCACCCACAAGUUGACCAAAUUUUUCAGGAUUUACCAUCAAAGAGGGAGUACAGUGAGCUAACAACAAAGAAAUGCAUGGUUGAGGCAUACCCGAUUCUCUCAAAAGCCCAAUAUUUGGAACAACAUGCUUGCGGUGACUUUCCAAGAAAAUCCAUGAGUUGCGUUUUAAAACAGCAACAACAUUUUUCUCAGAGAGCAUACUCCUGAGGAAGUUAUAAGUGGGCAAAAUCCGAUUUCUCAAGCUGGCUGCCAAAAGCUGUGGAUUAAAAGUCAGAGUUUUUAUAAGGUCCACCUUUGAAAUUUCAAGAGAGCUGAAAAACUCAAGCUUUGGCAAAAGGGUUUUCUCAGGAUCAGCUGAAAGAAGUUUUGGAUGUGACCUAAUAAGCUUUGAUAUCUGGGUUUGAGAUGCUCCAUAGUUUCUCAGAAGCUCUAAAACGGAGUCUGCUCUUUCUGGUGACUUCAACUCGACCCGCUUACAAGCUGAAAUCGCUCCUUCUGGGGACAACCCGCAAGUGUUUAUGAGGUAAGUGACUGUGAAAUUGUGUUGGUUUUCUGAGAUUUCUGACGUGAUGCGUCUGCAGAUCAACUGACUCUGAAGAGAAAAAUGUGAGGGUUUUGGAUCUCCAACCAACACUCUGUUUGUUUUGGAAGCAAAUGUACAAGAAAAUAUUGAGUGAACCAAUCUGAAGGUCUUCAAAUUGCAGAGUUGAAUCAUGUUAGAGGUUGAUGAUGAACAAUUUCUACAGGAAAACUUAAAGCCCUAGCUGAUUCUCUGCCUUCAGAAAAUAUGCAGUUCUCGGCAUUCUAAAAAGAUCUGAACCAUCCAAAUAAAAUUGCCUGGUAUAGGAUAAACCAUUGCAGCUAGGGUAAGUUUUCUUACCAUUUUCACAACUGACGGUCACUGGCUUACUGCUGCUAUCCAUGGCGGUAGGAAAUAUUCUGCCAGAAAAACCUCUUCAGUCUUCAUAGGUACAAAUCAAAGCAAAGCAAUUACUCCAAUCCCAGGCAAUAAGAAAACCCAAAAAAAGGGGUUGAAUUUCGAACUUAAAAACAGUCGAGGGCAUUUGUUUCUUUGGGACAAAGGGCGAAGAACAUUUGGGCGAUGAUGCUUUGGUUUAUAGACGCUCGACGUGGUUACUCUCAGGUGCGGCCCAGAAGCAAUUUGAAAGCCUCUUCUUGCAAUUGGAAUUUGGAUGUAUGAGUUAUUUACAUUUUACUGUGUGUUGUCAAAAUGCUUGAGGUUUUGAAAAUUACACCAACUUCUCCUGAAGUCUCAAAUUAUUCUCAUUAAAUCCGAUUUUGUUAAUUUUUCGUACAAAAGUUAAUGAUUUUAUAUAUAAUAAAGCUUACGCAAAUAACAAAUUUAAUUUCGGUUUGAUUAAAAGAAUAGCUUGUAAAAGGCUUGAAACUUAAGUGGUUAAGAGGAUAUAAUCCCGUCCUAAGUUCAAUUCCCUUCUACCGAAUUUCGCCUAUAAAAAUCGAAGUACUAAAUUUUUUAUUAUUUGAAGACAUUUUUUUAUAUAAAAUCAUCAAUUAUAGAAGGAAAAAUCAAUGGAAAAAGGUUUCGAGAAAAUAAUUUAAUACUUUAUGGAGUAUUUGUGUAAUUUUUGGAACUACAAAGGGUUUAGUAAAAGCACAAGUUUUAGUGUAAAUAACUCUGAAAUGUAUCCCCAUAAAAAAAAUUAUAAAAAAUUAAAAAAUUAAAAAAACUAUGAAAUGUAUAGUACAGUCCCGAUCUCUUGGACCACAGGAGUCCAAGAGAUUGUGGUCACCCACCGUUGGAUAUUAAUCCAAUGGUUCAAAAUGAUAUAUAUAAAUGCAAUAUGACAUAAAUGAUUAUUACCCGAUUCAAGUCAACCGUUGAAUUUACAUCUAACGGUGAGUGACCAUAACUCUCUUGGACUACAGGGGUCCAAGAGAUCAGGACUGAUGUAUAGUAUACCCGUAAGAUUUUAUUCUUCUAUUUUUGUACAUUAAAUACUUGUUUAUCCUUUUUAUAUUUGAAUCUGUUGAGUAAAUUGCCUCAUUAAUUUUUUAUUAACUUUUUUUAAUGUGAGCGUGUCAUUGUUAGCAAAUAAUACCCUAUGAAUUUGAAUGACUUUAUACACUUGAGCCCCAAGUAAUAGACUUUAAACAAACGAUUGUGAUUUUGGAUGGGGGAACCUCCUAAGAGAGUUCUUUUCUAUCCCUCAGACUGGUGAGGACUUCACAAUUUAUCUAGACAAAAAUGGUAAGUAAAGCAAAAUACAUAAUUUGUGGUGAAUAUAACAGACUAAUCCAAGCAGAACUGCCUUAAGCACAAAGCAUAAAAUGAAUUGCUAAAUCUAGACGGGUGUCAAAUUGUUGUACUUUGACUUCUACUUAAAAAUACAAUCAAAAUGAUGUUUUAAGGUCAGGCUGGACUGGAUAUUUCUGCACUGAAAUUGCACGUCAAUAUCUUCAACAAACAUAGAUUAGUUGGAAAUCAAUACCAAUGUUGGUAUUGGCAGAGCUAUAAACAAGUUGAGCCAAUAUGUAGGCUGGAAAAGUGAGCAGAACUACAGGCAAGUACCUGUUCUAGUUGGUUGUGUAUGAUGUGGAAGAUUUCUAGACAAUUUUAAGACAUUGAGGUAUCUUUAUAAACUUGUUGAGGUUUUCAUAUGAUGAAAGACCUGACUUCUAUUUGUGUUAUCUUAUUUGCUUUGUAACACCCCGACUCCAAAAUUAAUGUCUAUUUUAAUUGAUUUAAAUUAAAUUACGAAUUUACCCUUGGGGUAGGGGUAAAUUGGUCAUUUUCUUAUCCGGAAGGAUUUUGGGACCACGAAUGGUAUUUUUGGGUAUGUGGUACUGAGACGAAUUCGUAAACACGCGGUAGGCUUGAAUCGGAGCUGUAACGAAAAUGUUACGAUCAAAACAUUAUCAGUGGCAAACUUGUAAAUAUUUCAAAAAAGUUUGAUAAAAAUCAGAUUUUUUCACUUCAGCUCUCUCUCUCUCUCCUCGCACGCACUCGACUCUCUCUCUCCUCAGUCUCUCUCUCUCCCCGACACCAACACACUCUCUCUCUUCGGUUCUCUCUGCACCGGCCACGGCCAGGCACGCCACCAGUCCCGAUCGAUUCGCCUCGAUGUCCCGAUCAAGUCUAGCCGAUUUUCCCCAUCGGAAACCACGAACUCCGGCCACGAGCUCGACUGGUUUGAACCAGAGCUUUCCGAUCGUCGCGCCGCCUCCUCCGCCGCCCAAACCUGGUGAGUGAGGUAUGGUUUCUCAUCCUUUUUCCGAGUUCUAGCUGAUUGUUGUAUAGGUUUGGACCGAUUUGUUGUCUAGAAAAUCGAUUAGAAAACUUAGGUUUUGGCCGGAUUUCAAAGUAAAAUUCCGGCCAGUUGCCGCCCGAAUUGGACCUUCCCUUAGUUGAAUGAAGUGAUCCUGACCUUGAGUAAAAGCUAGGAUAUGAAGGGUGAGCUCGGGUGGAGUUUUUCCGUUAUCGGAAUUACUCUGCACACCCACGAGCUGCCGGCGCCUGUGGCUGCGCGUGGGCGAGGCUGGUAAAGAUGCAAUUUUACCCGAUGAGAUCCUUAUGUUGUCACGAGCGUAUAGAAAUUCACGGAUCUCAAUUCGGAUGUCGUUUGGCUAUCGAACGAAUUUUCGCAUAUUGUGAGUUAUUGGGUUCGAUAGGUUCCGACCAUUGGAUCUUUUUCAAAUUAAAAUAUGUUGUUCUAGGUAUUCCUAGGACCGUAUGGGACUUCACGGAUUAUGAAUCGGGGCCCUGGAUGUUUCGAUUCAAUAAUGCAAAGUUGGCUGGUUAGCGAUAACCGUAAAAAUCGUGAACGAUUCCUAAACCUGUAAUAGGACCUUAGGAUACCUUCUUCAACGUGCACGUAUUGGGAAUUUGGGGAUUUAAGCAUUUAAUUUGUGAUUUCCACUUCGAUGUAAUUUUAUAUUAAUUAAGGUUCGUAUCUCGAAAUAGGUGUUUCGACUGCACGUACUCAGCAAGCAGGACCCUCACGUGGUCAGGCAGCGUGGGAAUAUUUGUGAGUGGACUUUGUUUUCAAUCAAUGCAUGGUUUUAUUGAUGAAGGAUUUUUGCAUAAUGUUUUUAUGGCUUAUUGAAUAUAUUAUAUUCAUGAGAUGAAUUUGAUGUUGUAUAGCGCGUUGGCAAUAUAUUGUGAGUUUGGCAUUUUGGGUAUUGAGAGUGUAUUUUUAUAAGGGUUGUGGGGAAGUAUAUGUAUAUUAUUCUCUAUAGACGAGAUACUUGGGUUGUUGAAGGGUGUUGUGGAAGAACUUGAUUAUGAUGGGUUGUUGAGAGAAGUUGUAUGAUUAUACUAUGUAAGUACCUUCCCCAAGUAUUAGACUUUUCACACGCGGCGUUGGAUGUUCCGGCGUGUAGGAAGAAUAGGUUACCCGUCUCACUCGUGGCGUUGGAUGUUCCGGCGUGUGAGACACUUUCCAUAUGCGGCGUUGGAUGUUCCAGCGUAUGGAAAGACUCUGUAUAGUGUUUAGGGUCAUCACCCAUGGCGUUGGAUGUUCCGGUGUGUGAUGAUCCAGUCUGCGCACGUAGGACUUAGUUUGGGAGCCACACAUGGCGUUGGAUGUUCCGGUGUGGGAGCUUUAGAGUUUCGUCCCCCGGUUGGACCGCUCAUCCCUAGACGCAGGAUAGCACCUGGAAAUCCUGCGAACUAGUCAAACGAUUCCCUAGUUGGAUUGCUUCCCCGGUACCUAGGUAGUGUGAUGAGUAUAUCGUAUAGCUAGUUAUAGUUAUAUUCUUAUAUAUAUAUAUAUAUAUUUAUAUUUAUAUGUAUAUGUAUAGUUGAGUGAGUGAAGAAUUAGAGUUUUUCAGUGGUUUGGCAAGAGUUGUAAAAUUGAGAGAAUGAGGUUUUUGAAGGAGAUGAUUUGUAUUAUGAAGAGUUUUAAAUGAAUCAUGUUUUGAGUAAUUAAUUUGAAUUGUGAACCUGCAUGACUAGAGCAUUAUUUUUACAUGGUGGGGUUAUUAUAUUAUUUUUAACUGCGAAUUUGGUUUUUGUCCACUCACAUGUUUUCUGUUUUGCGCCCCCCAGCCAGUAGUCGCUCUAGGAAGCGUGCAAGUGGUGUUCGAGGCUCGAACUGUGAAUCUUCCUAGUUAGGAAUUGAGUAAUUUCUUCUACUCAACUGUUCUUGUAAUCUAAAUUCAAUAGAUGCUCUAUUAUCGCCCAUGGUAGAUUUUACUUGUGAGGCCGGAGGCCAUUUUAGUAUGACUUGUUGAAUUAUGAAAGCAUGCUGCUGGUUGGGAUUUUUAUUUGAUGUGCGUUGCAGGUUGAAAUUUUUUGUUAGGUUUGCUUAAAUUACAGGGGAGACUCUGCCAAAAUUUUUGGUAGAAAGUCUCGAUUUCUUAGUAAGUGGGCCCGGCAUCGGGAAGAUGUCGGAACAAAGACGGGGUCCGCUUCGGUUUCCAGGAAAUUCCGGGGCAGGUCCUGUCAUGCUGAACCAAAUUUGUAAGAGAAUUCAAUCCAUUAUAAGUUAUGAUUGAAAUACAUUGUUAUAUUGCAAAAAGAAUCUCGUCUUCUUUUUGGCUGUCUGAGAUUUUGUUUGAGUUGGGUUGCUUCCUAUAGAAGAUUGCUUGCUUGCCUUUGAUAAUUGCAAGAUCAUUUGAUCUUUGAUUUCUUUUGAUCAGUCUAGACUGAUUGUUGAGUUUUUGUUUGAUUGGUUGGUUGGUUGGUUGGGUCCCCUCUCCAAUCCAUGCAUUCUUGUAUUUAUAAGAGAAAAAUGAUGAUGAAGAUUGUUAAGCUCAUAAUUUCAUGCAUAUACAUGCCCUAUUUACUCACUCAUUUUGCUUAGUUUCUUAGAAUUUUAGGCCAAUAGAGCGAAAGAGAAUAAUUCAUGCAAUUCAAGCAUGUUAAGGCCAGAUUGGGAUGAAUGGAAGAAGAGCUUAAAGACAAACUCAUUUUGGCUACAGGCCCUCGCCAGUCCAAUUUCGUAAGUCACAUUGCAAGACUUGUUUCAGCAAACUACACAACUCAAAUGAGGCAUACUUCUGCAUGAAAGUUGUUCCAAUGGUUGUCUAUUAUAACAUAUCCAAAAUUCAGCCCUAUUUGAUAAAUCUGGAGUCCGUCACCUAUCAAACACAGAACCAUGCUCAGGAUGGAUUUUGUCAACGUGCCAAAUGACAUGUGGCUGAAAAGAAGACAUUCUGAACUUCAAGUUUGUGGGCUCAAAGUCAUCAUUUGCUUAAGGGUAGCCCAAUUCGUAAGCCUUGAAGUUGCUGGUCAUGCUAACCUAAGGAUGAGCUAAGUGUGCUUGGUCAUAAUGACAUAAGCAUGAGGUGUUAUUGAUUGUGGGGAAGUUAGGUGAAGCAUAUGCAUUUCUUAUAUUUGAGUGGAGUUUUGCAGCAGCCAAAGGGAAUAAAACAAGAUGAAGUGGGAGCUGCAAUACUAAGCCUAAAGAGAAGAAGAACUGUUUUCAAAUGCAAGUGUGUUUUAGGUGAAAUAGGUGUGGUUAGUGAACUUACUUGUAUAAUCUGAUUCACUUAACCCUUAUACCUAUAAAUAGAGAGUCUCCAAAGAGCUAUGUAGUCAAGAAAAUUCAAAUCCAUCAUUUACACUUACAUUGUACACAAAGAGAGGAAGAGUUAAGAGUCACAAAGGGAGAGAAGAGAAAAGGCAGCAGCUGGGAGGCUUUGGCCUCCUGGCAGCCAUGGAGAUAAAGCUUUUCCAUCUCUAGCAUGAUGUCCCUAUCUUUUUCUCCUCCCUUUGUCUUUUAUUUUCUUCUUGUAUUUCCUUAGCUUUACUUUGUUUUUCUGUCAUUAGUUAAUAAACAUCUUGCUAGUCUUGUAUCAUGGUUUGAGUUUAUAAAGUUUGAUUUCAUUCAUGAAUUCUUCUUCACUGUUUUAAUGGAGCUAUUUUGCAUCCUUUGAUUGAUCACCUGAGGAUUUAUGCAUUUUGCUCUUGUUGGUUGAUUGAUCACCUGAGGAUUUAUGCAUUUUGCUCUUGUUGGGAAGGUUUGGGGAUCAUCUUCAUUCCAUCCAUUAGCAACUCAUAUGAUUUGGUUUCCAGGACGCCUAAUGUAAACACAAUGCUUUGGGGUCCUUGUGAUGUUCAAUGCAAUUUGAUCCAAACUGUUUAGGCCAAAAUUCUACCCGUCAUCCCAUUUUUGUCGAGAGGCCCAUGAACCAAACAUUUGGGCUUUCAUCUAUAGGAAUCAUAAGGAAAAAAACCAAGACACUAGAAAAGCCCAGAUCCUUUUGAACAAAUUACAAAAGCAGCCAUGAUCUGAAAAGAAUAAACUACUAUUAUUUACAAUUAAAGAGCCGAUACACACAGUGUUGGAUAAAUGCCCAACUUCUGAGAAGAUCUCACCACUUGGUCUCUAUCCCAAAAAGCCAAAACAGCAUAUCUUUUUCUCAAGGAAGCGCCAGCGUGAAUUUCUGACUUUGAAAAAGUCAAAAUUUUCAACUAUCACAGAGGAGUUGAUAAGGAGUUAAUGAAGGCAGGUUUUACAGGAAGACUUCUCCAUUGUUUGCAGCCAAAGAAAGAAGAUCAAAAUCCCUUUUUAUAAACAGAGAAACUCUACACUAAAGCAGGUGACCUUUCCAAGAGAUAAGCAGACUACAUUCUCAAGAGAUAAGUAGGGAGCAAGGGAGUUGUUCAACAGGAAAAGCAAACUGACCAUCAUGACAAAUUGUGUAAUAACCCAAACCUUAAUUAAUAUUUAAUUAUUAUUUUAUUAGAAGGAAAUACAAUUUUGCCCUUGGAAUAAUUUAUUAAAGAAAAGUUAACUUUUUGACAGAGAAAGAAUUUGACAAUUCCACACACACCGUUGCGUAAAGCGCGACGAAAUGAGUCCGUAGACACGUAGCAAGCUUAAAUCGGAGCUUUAACGAAGAAAAUAUGGUCAAAAUACGUAGAGGGGCAAAAUGAUAAUUUGCAAAGUCAGAAUUUUAAAACCCCAAUUCUCUCUCUAUCACGAUCUCUUCUUCCCCUGGUUCGAAAACCCCCCAGCCGAACCUCCAUAACUACCCAGCCACUGCCACACCUCGCCCCGACCCACCAGACUGGACCUAAUCGCACCAGCGUCAGCUCCGCCGCCAAGCCCGACCUUCCCUGCCACUCGGCUGUCACGGUUUCGUAGGAAAAAUUGAAAAUUUCAUCCGGUUUAGUUUGAAAUUUCACAGCCGUCGAUCUCCGUAUUCUGACCACCAAAUUGGACGAUAAAGGUAUGGACCCUUACCUAUUUUUCAUGACUUAGCUGUUGGUUGGGUAGGAUUGAACGAUUUCUAGCCUAGGUAGAUCAAACCACAAUCCAAAGCUCGGUCGGUUUUGAGAUUGAAAUUUCGGCCACUUUCGGCUAGUUUUUGGGGUACGUCCAAGAACAAAAGUGGUUCCAAAUAGGUUGUUUUACAUAGAGUAGGAGUUUGGGCCGGUGGUUUGGAGUUUUUCCGACUGCCAGAAAUUUAUCAAGCCACCCACUCACUGCCGGCGCGUGUGGCGGAGCGUGGGCAGUUUAGUGGAGACCACAUUCAGUCCUAGAAUGAUCCUCGUGUUGUCAUGAGCGCGUAGGAAUUCGCAGAUCUCAAUUCGGAUACCGUUUGAGCCUCGAACGGAUUUUGCAUAUUGUAUGAUUUCCGGGUUCAAUACAAUUGAGCCGUUGGAUCGUAAUCAUUUUCAGAUAUCUUAAUCUACACAAUUCCAGGAUCGUUUAGGAUUUGACGGAUCGUGAAUCGGAGUUCCCAAUACUCCAAAAUCGCGAACCCUAGGGCUAGGGUUUUAGAAAUCAUUCGAUUGUAUGAUCGUGAUCAAUCCGACCGUCCGAUCGAGAUCAAACUCUCAGGACAUGUGUCCUGGGUAUAUUGGAACUUCUAGAGGCUUAUGGAUCAUAAUUUUGUGGUCGAACGUGCACAGGGUCUGGCUCGGAUUCCAAAAUGGAAUUUGGGUCGGGUCCUAUCCAAUUGUGUCUUUCCUUCUUUACAAGGAACAAAUAGAGAACAAAAGGAGUUGAUUUUCUUUUUGGGAAAAGCAAGGAAAAGAUCACCAUGGGAACUUAUUAUUGAUGGUUCUUCUCUGCCAGAAUAGAUAGCUUCCCCUUUUUGUGGCAUUUAAAAAGAAAGAUCUUUUGAAAAGAUUUGCCGUCCAUUAUUCAAAGAUUAAAAACCUUACUCCAGCAUUUCCUAUAAAAUAAGAGAGAGGGUGAACAGAUGAAGGACAGCCUAAAAAUCAAUCAAGAUAAAAACUCUCAAAGUCAUAACUGACAAACUCAAAAUGAUCAAUUGAUCUUAAAAGCCUUCAAACACUGAAGUGACCAAAGCUCAUCGAGCCACAAGAAACAAAUCAACUAUAAUUCAAAUCUCUGUUUUCGGUUCAGUCAGAGAAACUGUUUUACAAAGCGAGAUUUCUCUUGUUACAAAUUUGGUUCAGCACAAAGCCAAGUCAAGCAGAGUCAGGAUUUUUCACAAAUAUGAAAACCUCAACAAAUUUACAGAAAGCCUUGGUCAAGCAGGACAGGCACCAUAGUGCAGUUCCAGCUCAGUGACCAUCAAUCGAGCCACUUUUGUUCUCUUCAGACUGGAGAUGCCUCAAUUCAACCCUUUCAACAAGCCUUCCAUGGCUCGAAAUAAAUUGAAGCUCUGCCAAACUCAAAUGUCGGUAUCCAUUUCCAGCUAAAACUCAUCAGUUGAAGGUGUUGACGAUCCAAUCCAACACAGACACAUCCAAUCCAGCCCAGUUCAGAAGCAGCUACCCAGGCAGAAAUUGAAGUCGAACGCUCUGCUGUCUAUUCUGGAGUUGGCUUUUUCUCUUUCUGAGCUUUGUAAUGAGCAGUUCUGCCUAAACAGUUUACUUUCUUUUCAUUUAUUCUGGCCAAAACUACCAAUUUUGUACUGUGAAAAAUUAUGAAGUUCUCACCAGUCUGAGGCGAGAAAAGAACUUAUUUGAGAGAUAUUCCUCACCCAAAUUCACAAUUGCUUGUUUAAAAGUCAGUAACUUGGGGCGCAAGUUAUCUAUUUUUUAGAAGUCUGCUAGGGUUUUGAACUGCUAGCAGUGGCACGCUCACGCACAAAAGAAAGUUGAUUUGUUAACCACUAAUGGUUGUCAAGCCAAUGGGGAACUUUACCAUACCAUCACAGGAUUAAAAUCAAAACGGGUGAACACAAACACCAUGGACUUAUUUGUGAGGAUCGUCAUGAUUGAAUCAAUUUUUUUACUUGCUGCCAUAACGUGAUUAGAACAAUUAGGGUGGAUUCUAAAACCUCACCAUCUUGUCUUAGUUCUUUUCUUUCUUCUUCUUUUGUGUUCUUUUGUGUUCUUUUGUUUUCAUUUCUGUUUUGUGUAGGAAAACUGAAUUGGAUCAUUCAAUCAUCAAUCCCUGUGAAAUUGACCUUGCACUUACAUAUGCUAAACUACCAACGACUCGUGCACUUGCGAGUAUCACAAGUUGAGGAUGCAGCUGAAUCCAUUAUGGUGCAGCGUUGAAUCGACGCAACAAAGAUAUGGAUUUUUUUUUUUAAAAUUUUGGACUAGCCCCCAUUUCAUGCAAAAGUGGCAAAAGUUUUGUCAUUCCAAUGCAUUGAUCGUUUUUGGCACCUGCUCAUCAAUACUCCUGAAUGUCUCCUAAUCAUUCCUUUUGCAACAACUAGACUGAAGCAAGCAAUAAUUUCUAGAUUCCUCCAAUGUUGGUACCAUAAAUAACCAAAUACUCUUGGAAAAGAAAAAAUCCGAUGAUCAUAUAAUAAAUAGCCGUGAUUCUCAAGCAAGUCUAACUUUUACUUUUCAACUUUUAAGGUCAUCAAUUUUCCUUGUAGUUUAGUCACGAACGAUGAGGAAAUAUCCUUAAAAACUUUAACAGCUAAGAAAUUGUGAAUUUUGGACUGAAACUAAUUGAAAUAAUUUGAUUCUUGGAUUAAAUCACCACUUGUGGUAAUUCAUUUACCAAUUUAUCAAAAAAUCAUGAAUUAGUUAAAUCCCCCUUUGGCUAAAUAGUAAGGACUAGUCACCAUUUUUGAUAAACACAGCCCAACGUUUUGUAAAAUGAACCCAAUAAACCAUUUUGGCUAGCUCGUAGGAUUUAAGCCCAAACAAUACCUGUUCGGCUAGAAUUUUAAAAAAAACAAAUUAUUUUAUUAUUAUUCUAUUUUUGAUAAGAUUCUAGAAAUUUGUCUAAUCUCAUACCGGAUGUUUUGGGGGCACUUUUUUAUGCCAUGCGUUCUCUGAUGUGCAUUCAGGGGCUUAAUAAAAUAGUCUCACUUCGUCAUCUUUUUAUCGCACAAACACGUAUUUGCACAUCAAAAUUCAACACUUCGGUAUUUCUCUUCCAAUUUCAACCAUAAUUAGUAUUGUCUCAAAAUGACUUCAAACAUGACUCCAAAAGGCAUCGAUGCAUAGUGACUUGGAACACAAUCCUAAAACGUGUUAGUUGCUUGAUCCGAUCAUCAAUUUCAUUCAGAGUGACGAUUUUUUUUUUUUUCAACAACUCUUCUACAACAUUUGACCAUUUUUUUCUUGUUGAAAGUGACAAGUUUUGUCGACUUACAAAAAAAACUAUGCCAAAAUGGUAAUACUAAAGUCCUUAUCUAACCCCUAUAUCUCUUCAAUUGAGAGAUUUUUGGGGUUGACCCUUGUAGGAAGCAAGUGUUGGGUUCUUCAAAGACUAGGUAGAUAGAUAAUUCAAAAUUUUACCCAAUUUCUUAGGAUUUGGAUUUCAGCAAAGUGUUUGAUAGCAUUCUUGCCCUCCACGAAUGCUGGUCUAAAGAAUUUUAAUCGGGGGAAAGAAAACCCACACUCCAACAAAUAUUGUGUUUGAACAUUAAAGACUAAAAAAAUGUGUUUUAGCUAUAAUAUAGAAGAAGCCAGAGAAAAAAAAUUUAGCCCAGCCCUAUAUAAAUUCCUUUAUUCCGCCCUUGUUUGGGUGGGAUGAGAAAAUUUGUGUUUGAAAGGGGGAAUGGAGGAAGGGCCUGUAAAGAGGGAAGGGGGAUUGGAUUUCAAGGUGAGCGGGGUUAGUUGGAGCCACCGGAGGUGCACAGAUGAUGGGGUAAGGUGAUAUUUUUUUUAUUUUCAAUUUUAUUUUUUUAUAAUGAAUUUUCUAUUUUUAAAAUACCCUUGAAAAUGGAAAGACUAAAAUACCCUUAAAUAUAGAUGGAAAGUUGGUGUUAAAGUGAGAUGACAAAUCAUGAAUUUUGAAAAAUUAAGAUGUCAUUUCUCUUAAUUUUUUCUUUAAAAUGACAACUUGAUUUCAAGAUAUAAGUUCAUGUGACAUUUUAAAAAAUAAUAAUAAUAAAUUGCAUAACAUCAGAUUUUUUUUUUUUUUAUUUAAUGCAAAAAAAGGGAAAUUACAAGCAAAAAUCACGCGAACACGCAGUCCCAAACAAGUUGAAAAAGAAAGGAAUCGGACAAUUCAAAGGCAGACCCGCAUCCCAUAACUCUAUGACUAUUGCACCAAGUAAAAGGAAUGCCAGCAGCACAAGAGAAAUAAUUUCACCAUCAUUAAUAAAGCCAUUAAAAUCUGCCAAAGCAGACAUCAAAUGAGUGUAACCACCUAAUUUCUCACUAGGGGCGCAUAUAUUAUUAAAGUCCCCCAUAAGAAUCCAAGCUUCAGAAGCCGCAUGUUUGAGGCCAAGGAUAUCAAUCCACAGCUGAUGUUGUUUUUGUUUCUAGGGAUAAGCAUAGACAAAAGUAGCUUUCCAAUUUUUUUGGUCAAUAAGAUCUUGAAUGUGGCAGUGAAUGAAACGCUCAUGGGAAUCUAAAAUGGUUAUAUUAAUAAAAGAAGGAUUCCACAAUAAGAAUAUCCAUCCACAAUGACCAAGGGCAUGGAUACAAAAGAAACCAUCAAAACCAAGCCUCUGAGCAAUAACCUCAGCUCAACCCUAGAGGCUCUGGAAUCCAAAAUAUAGAAAACAUUCAAACUAGACGUACUAAUAUAAAAAAGGGCUUGCAAAAUAAAGCCAGGCCAACCACUGCCUUGGCUAUUCCAGAAUAACAUCUUCAUGGAUUGGGGCUAGGGGUGUUACCAACCAAGGGUUCAGUCUCCCUCAGAUACUCUCCAUGCAUCUCAACACUUGGAGCAUAAUUCUCUUCCACUUCCACCUCAUCACGAGUUCUCUUCUUAGGACUCUUGUAAGCGAAACCAGUGAAGGCACUGCUGCCUUCUUGGGAAUGAGCAGGGGCAAUCACAACAGCCCUACCCUUCCCCUUGCUAAUAUGGUCAACUGGAGAAAACUUAACCCCAACAUCACGAGACCCACCUCCUUCAGUAAAUUUGAUUCCCUUAGCAACUUCUUUAAAAGUUCUCCUAUCCCUUUCUUGCAUUUUGGCUUUGCCUUUACGGUUAGCCACAACCGUCCACCCUGGGUCCUAUACCUCAGUGGGCACCUUCUCACCCUGGUCAGAAUUUUCCUCUGCAAAAUAGUCCACAGUUAUAGGCUGUGGGAACACCAGUAUGACAUCAUCAGCUAGUUUUUGUUGCUCUUCAAACUCAAGGACUCAUUCCCUAAGGAACACAUUAGGUUCGUUCUCUAAUAUUUCAACCUGCAUGGCCACAUAUCUUUCCGGCUAAGGAGUGGGAAACCUUUCUCUUGUUACAUGAAUCCAAUUUUCAUUUCACCUGGGAAAAGCCAUCAGAAAGCUUUUGUUUGAAAUUUUGAUAGGGCAAAUGUGAUCGCGCUCCAUCUUCUGGCUACAAUAGAAACAGAUCGCAAAAAGGGCUUCAUAGCUAACAAAUAUUAUGGUUUCCUGGGGAUGCUCACCCAGAACUAGGCAUCUUUUUAGGGGCCUAGUUAGGUCUAACACAAGGUGAGCUCUAACAAACAUAAUCUGUUUACCCUCUGUAGACUGCAGGUCCACACUAAUAGGAUCUCCAAGGAUAGAGACCAAAUCAUAGAGAACCUCAGGGUCUUUGUAAUGGAGGGGCAGAAAGGGAAUUCUGACCCAGCCCACAAUGGAUGUCACAACAGCAUAAAAGGGUGAGAAAUCUGGGGUCCAGCGCUGCAGGUUAAAAAUCUGACCUUGGACAAACCAGGGUCUGUUAUCCAAAACGAAAAAAACAUCAACUUCAGCAUUGAACUCCACCUUAUACCAGUCUCGACCAAUAUGGUCAAUAGAGACCUCACCCUGCAGGUUCUUCCACUCACUCUUGAGCCUAUGCCUGAUAACUCUGCUAUUCACAGGAACUCCAAAGACUUUCCCUACCAAGCAGAAAGUCUCAUUGAGUUUGGACACUAGACGCAAGAGCAGAGGUGGAGACUUUGGUUUCAUUUCUUUCAAUCCUAAAGGUAAAUAUGCCCUUGUGUAACACAGAGGGUUCCACAGAAGACCUACUCCCCAAUCUGGGAGAAGACGUCGGACUCAAACUACGGGAUUUCGCCCGUGAAGAGCUAGCAUUAAGUUGAGCACUCAUGGUUGGAUGAGAGGAAAGUGAGCAAGGGCAACAGGUAUUAAGAGGAAAUUUAGAAGGUGAGAGUACGCGGUGGAGAUAUCUGGUUUUAAUUUUCUUAUAAAUAGCCAGUAUGAAGCUCUCAAAAUGAUUACAAACAUAUCCAAACCUCCAAUGCAUGCAAAGAUGAAGAAAGGGGAAAGAAGUUAUCUGACCAGAGUUGCUAAAAUCAGCAUCGAGCACCUCCCAAAUCAUCAGCAUCAAAAGGGGUUUCCAAUUUCUGGGGUAAUGAUUUAGUCUGAGACGAUCCUGGCCAUUAGAUUGAAAAAAGAAUGCAAGAUUAGAGUGAAUGAAAUUAAUGCAAGAUAGAGGACGAAGCAAAUUGCAAAAAUUGCACUUCCCAAAGGGAGUUCAUCAGCUGAUGCAUCGUAAAUCUCAAACGACUUCUUUUUAGCGCCACCUUGUGGUUUGGAUGAUGGAUCAACAAUCAUUUCGCAACCCAAUCACGGCAAAAGCUUUGGGGAGAAGAACCGAUUCAAAGUCUUCCCAAUACAAACAACCAUAGCUUCAGACCAACUUUUAGAUGUAAUAAUUGAACCCGCAAGCUUCACUUGAUCAUCCCUUUGAGCUUUUUGUCUUGCCUUUUUCUUCCUUCUUUUCCAAUUUCCCACCCUCUCAAGGACUGCCCUAAUCCCCUUUUUGCUCUCGUUCUUCAUUUUUCUGAAUUAAUUCAAUCAAUUCAAAAAAUUCAUUUCCAGGCACUUAUUUUUUCAUGGCUUGGGGGGCAAUGAACUAAGAAUCAAUCCUUGAAAACUAUAAACCAAGUAAAGAAUAAACAAGGCCUCUUUUUAUAUUUUGGCGAACGAAGAGAAGUACAUUGAACAUAAAUUUAUUCCAAAAAAACAGUGAAAUUGUUCCUUGACCUCCCUCUUGAGAUCCACACAUCUUUGCACAUCUAUUAGUGCGGGAUAGAUUCAUCCUAAAGACAACAAUUGCCAAACCACCCUACUUUGCAACUCCAUCAGAGCCGAGUUUUAUGUCCCCUGAAUUCCCAAUUCCUUAAGCAUUGCAGAUAUCGCAUUCCUAAUCGUUAAGGUCUCGGUAAAAAAGCUAACACAAGAGAAGACAAUGAGAAAAUGAUGCUUAUCGAGUCCUUCGAUGCCAUGUUGACAUGAUUACAUAUGAAUCUAAUCAAUCAUUGACACUGAAGUAGUUCCUAUAAACCAACCGUGGCCGCUUAAGUAGGCUAGCUGCAUCUCAGAGGACAAUAACUCAAAGAGCAAGGGAUAAAGGAUUGAGAGUCAUUCUUAUCUUUUGAAAAAUGGACAGAAAUUAGCUUCUUCCACUCCUCAACCAAAAUACAAUACAUUGUACCCUAAUAGAAGCAUUAUAUGCGCACAUUCUACAAAAUCAACUUUCAAGGGUAACCAAAGUCGGGAACCAUAAACAGAAGAAAUUCUAGCGACUCUACGGCAGGCAUUUGUUCUAAUAAGAAAGCAUAUAUAAAUCUAAUUAAAAACAGGUAGGCUGCCGAGUAGAAGAAUAAAAAACUGAAUUUACUUCCUGCAAAAUUUUAGUAAGAUGUGGGAUACAAUUUAAACCUUACUUUAAAGACAAUUUCUAGGGUAGAGGACAGCAUUAUAGUAUUGUGCCAAAUGCAAUCUAAUGCAUAUGAGUGAUGCAGCAUCAGGUGGCUAAAAUAAUUACAUCCUCACCCGUUUCAACAUAUCAGAUCAGACAGACUGGAUAUCUACCUUCCCUUGAUACACACUUAACAAUUCAGGUACUUCGCCAAGAUAUCUGUUCACAAAAAUCUCCAAGAACUGCUUCUCUGUUCGUUUCAGCAGAGAACCCAGAUUCAAGUUCUCAUUUAUGAAACCUUUCAACAACAGAACUUUAACAACAGAGCACCUUGGGAUAAGUCUCCUCUCCAAACUGAGACUGAGGACCACAGGAUAUUUGGCAAUCAUUCCUGACGACCAUCCCAUCUUGUUCACUAAAAGAUCCAUUGCUUGCAUAAGUUUCUUCUCCGAGACAAUCAUACACUGCGGGUUCUUCCUGAAGGCAGAGAGAAAAUCACCCUCAGACCAACCCCAUGUCUUAAGAACUUCGCGACUUCUACUCCAUACCAACUUAUUCUUACCGCACAAUGCACACAGGGCAUUCACUGAAGUUGAUUUUUCUAGAUUAAAUCCCAUUUCCUUAACCUCACCCACAAGUUGACCAAAGUUUUCAGCAUUUGCCAUCAAAACACGGGUACCACGAUUUAGCAAAGAAGAAAUGCAUGGUUGAGGCAUGCCCAAUUCUCUCAAAAGCCCAAUAUUUGGCACCACAUGCUUGCAGUGACCUUCCAAGAAAAUCCAUGAGUUGCGUUUUAAAACAGCAACAACAUUUUUCUCAGAGAGCAUACUCCUGAGGAAGUUAUAAGUGGGCAAAAUCCGAUUUCUCAAGCUGGCUGACAAAAGGUGUGGAUUAAAAGCCAGAGUUUUUGCAAAGUCCACUUUUGAAAUUUCAAGAGAGCUGAAAAACUCAAGCUUUGGCAAAAGGGUUUUCUCAGGAUCAGCUGAAAGAAGUUGUGGAUGUGACCUAAUAAGCUUUGAUAUCUGGGUUUGAGAUGCUCCAUGGUUUCUCAGAAGCUCUAAAACGGAGUCUGCUCUUUCUGGUGACUGCAACUUGACCCACUUAGAAGCUAAAAUCGCUCCUUCUGGGGACAAUCCACAAGUGUUUAUGAGGUAAGUGACUGUGAAAUUGUGUUGGUUUUCUGAGAUUUCAGAGGUGAUGUGUCUGCAGAGCAACUGACUCUGAAGAGAAAAAUGUGAGGGUUUUGGAUCUCCAACCAACACUCUGUUUGUUUUGGAAGCAAAUGUACAAGAAAAUAUUGAGUGAACCAAUCUGAAAGUCUUCAAAUUGCAGAGUUGAAUCAUGUUAGAGGUUGAUGAUGAACAAUUUCUACAUGAAAACUUAAAGCCCAAGCUGAUUCUCUGCCUUCAGAAAAUAUGCAGUUCUCGGCAUUCUAAAAAGAUUUGAACCAUCCAAAUAAAAUUGCCUGGUAUAGGAUAAACCAUUGCGGCUAGGGUAAGUUUUCUUACCAUUUUCACAACUGACGGUCACUGGCUCACUGCUGCCAUCCAUGGUGGUAGGAAAUCUUCUGCCAGAAAAACCUCUUCAGUCUUCAUCGCUACAAAUCAAAGCAAAGAAAUUACUCCAAUCCCAGGCAAUAAGAAAACCCAAAAAAAAGGGUUGAAUUUCAAACUAAAAAACAGUCGAGGGCAUUUGUUUCUUUGGUACAAAGGGCGAAGAACAUUUGGGCGAUGAUGCUUUGGUUUAUAGACGCUCUACGUGGUUACUCUCAGGUGCGGCCCAGAAGCAAUUUGAAUGCCUCUACUUGCAAUUGGAAUUUCGAUGUAUGAGUUUGUUUUUACCCAGUUUUGGUAAAUGGACCAAAAAUUGUCCAAAGGAUUAAAAGAAUAUCUCAAAGAUAAAGCCAGGUCCAUUAAUGUUUGUCAUUUCUUGAAAAGUCACCUUUUUCUUAACAGGCUUUUUGAAUAAAUUGAUGAGAAGGCCCAAAUCAUAAAUGACCAAAUCCUUAUCUUGCACUAAAGGCCAAAAAAUUGAUAAACGUGUUUUCUAGGCUCACAUAGGAGAUUAAAGGGGAUUAUCACAUUUAAUGACGACUUGAACUUUUUCUCUCCCAACAAGAAAACAAGUCGUAUAGAAGCCACCAAAACCAGAGAAAGAUCAAAUUGCCCAUCAGUUCUUCAAGUACAAAGGGGUCAAAUCAAGAGAGCUUCACAAGGAAAACUGACGGUUCCUGCCAAAAGCCUUCCAUCAUUCCCUCUAUGAACCAGUUAAGACCAACAAUCCAGCAGCUGACCUUGAACCACAAGCCAAAGGUCUUGUCGCAGUUUCCAUCAUUACAAGCUCUUUCAUCCUCUAUAAAUAAAGAAAGUCUACUUCGGAAGAAGAAGACUCUCUCUCCAAAAUCAGACACAACGUCUCAAAAAACAUUCAAAGAUUCUCAUAAUAACAAUCUGUCUACUUCAUUUAGAUAACCGGGUGACAACUACUGCAUUUAUCCAUCGUUGCUCUGCCAUACUCAUAGUAUGAUUUUCUUUUAAAAGUAAUAUAUUUUCAAUUCUUGUAAUCACUUAACUGGAUUGAGAAGUCUCCAGUCUCUCUUUCCUUGCUUUGUAUUUUAAAGAUAAUUGAUGUAUUAAUUAAAGAAGGUUCUGUUAUUUGGUUUACACUUAAAUUAAAUAUAAGCUAAAGGAAAUUCAUCUUUAAUAAGUUCACUUAAUUACCCAAAAAUGAAUUAUGGACUAUUUUAAUACAUAGAAUUGAAUUCCCGCCUUCUUCCCUUUAUAAAAGUCCAAAAGAACCAACGUUCGGGCCCGAAAGGGAAUAGGGGCUCGAAUGAAACAGCAAAAAUAGGAGGGAUAGGAAGUUGAGUUGGGCCCGAAUUAUACCGGUGGGCUCAAAUUAACUAUUAAUCUAGCCCAAGGACGAUAAAGAUAUUGAAACUGGUUGUUAAAACCCGAAUAAGGUUUACUAACCACGAACUUGGUCUCUCUCUCUCUCUCUCUCUCUCUCUCUCUCUCUCUUACUUGUUCAGGUAUCGCUCAUACUUGUCAAGUUGACAUUCGUGAAGGAAAGAAUAUUGAAGUCCUCUUGAUUGAGGCAUAGAAAAGAAUCAAUCCAGGCCAGUACCCCUCUUGGAGCACAAUGGCUUGAGAAGAAGUCCAGAAAAAGACGCGCGAGUCCUUAAUCAUUCAUAAACAUCCAUACCAGAUCUAUUGGGCUGGUCAUAUACCCAAUAAUGGCACGAUUACGCAACAUCACGAAUCAGAAUUGAGAAAAGUUGACGGAUAGGCCUCUAUCAGGCCCGCUCGCUUUUGGCAAACUGAUUCAACUUUCAAUUGUGUUCAAAAAUUAAAGGAGUCCUCUUUGCGAGCCAAGAGAUACCAUCCGAUCGGAUCAUUGGUGUCGAUCCAACGAACCUCUCCAUUCCUCUUAGCAGAGUUGACCCCCGCGGGCGGCAAAAAGGAACGACGGAAGGAAAAAAGGACCAACAGAGUUAUUUACAUUUUACGGUGUGUUGUCAAAAUCACAGGCCAUCUUGAUAAUGCAGUUAUAGCAGUUGGUUCCCUUUCUAUUUGGUAAUUAACAUCUUAAUGCUAAUACCAUGGUGGCUAAUGAUAAGCUUUUGAUACCUAAUGCUAAUACCAUUCUCUUCUUUUCCUUUCGCAGCGUGAACAUUAACGGAUUUGAACUAAUGUUGUUCAUUGGAAUAAAUGUGGCAAUAAGGUGAACAAGCAUUGCAUGUUGCAUUUGAAUGAUUAUUCUCAUGUUGGUGAAUGAGUUAAUUAAGGUUUUUAAUUUCUACGAAUAAUGCAGUGUGCGUGUCUCCAGUGAGCUUGGAUCAGGACGACCAAGAGCAGCCAAAUACUCUGUCUAUGUGACAGUAUUUCAGUGUCUUCUAAUUGGGAUUUUUUUCAUGAUUGUUAUUGUUUACACCAUAAUGAACCGAGCAGACCCAGCAUCAAAGCGACUAGCACCAAGGCAGCCACGCCUUCUCCCAUGCCGAAGGAAGACACACUUUCGAGGUGCCAGACACCUGCCGAAGCUCUCAGCUGCCAAACCUAAUCUCCAGGACACGUGUCGUCACCACAACGGCUUGCAUAAAGUCCCACAUUGGAACUUUGUGCAAAGCUCCCACUUUCACUUCCCUAUAAAUAGGGAACAGUACCCAGGUAAAACCAAGAACUACUCUCCCACUUUUACUGUUACUCUGCCAGAAUUACUACUUGUAACUGACUUAGGCAUCGGAGAGCCUUCGGCCGGCACCACACCGGUGUCCGAAGCUUAACGAUUGCUUCUCCUCUUUUUACCUUCUACAGGUCUCUCACCAACCCAUUUCACCAAGGGCCUCAGCCCUCUUCUCUGCUGAAGACUCAGCACAUCUAAUCACUAAAUUGGACUCAAUAUUGGCCGGGCCAUUUUGAGCAUCAACAGUUAUCUUGAUAACCAAAGACAGUUUUUCCCUACUUUUUACAAGUGAUAAGGAUCUGCAACAAGCGGUCGCCAAGCUAGCAUAUCUUCUUGGUAUAACUAUGUUGCUCAACAGCAUCCAGCCGAUAAUAUCAGGUACCCGUUUUGACGUGUGACUAAGUUUAUGAAAUGUUAUACAAAUAAUGCCACUUCUUCUGCUGAUGCCCAUGUUUGCUUGCUUGGUUCUUGAAGGGGUUGCAAUUGGUGGUGGAUGGCAGGCACUGGUAGCUUAUAUAAACUUGGGUUGUUACUACAUUUUUGGACUUCCUCUUGGAUAUCUUCUUGGUUAUAUUGCAAAUCUGGGAGUGAUGGUAAGUUAAGAUAUCAUUUCCAAAUUCCAAGUAGGUUACUUUAAUUCAAGAGUGUUUGAUGAAUUCCUGUGAUUGAUGCAGGGACUUUGCGGGGGCAUGAUAUGUGGAACUGCUCUCCAAACCUUGCUUCUGAUGAUUGUGCUCUACAAAACCAACUGGAACAAAGAGGUAUAAUCAAUAUUUCAAUUCAUUGCAAAUCAUAAACAAUGUGAGAUUUGAAAAUAUCCACAUUGAAAUGAAUCUGCAGGUGGAGCAAGCAACAAAAUGCGUGAGGAAGUGGGGUGGUCAAGACAUCACAGCUGGGAAUGGAGCUCAAAGUACCUGAAAUUCUUUGCUCCUUCAAUGUUCAAUGUUCAAACUUUUUGUUUUGGAUGAAUAAAAUCUUCAAGUACGAGUACAAAAAAGGCAAUGAUAUAGUGAGAUUUCUAGCUUUGCCAUUUUCAGAGGCCAAUGCAUAUUCCUCUGCUCAUAAGCUUAACGGUGUCGCCGCCUGUUUUUGGACUUUGGCCAACCAUUACCAUGAUUUGAGUAGGAUAUGAGCCACGCUACACCAAGCGACGGUCCUUUUUUAUUUUUUUUUUUUUUUUGCAAUUUCAAUUAUAUUUUCAAUAAAACUUAAAAGCCCCAAAAGAUUUUGGUUACUUGUCAAAAAAUAGACUUGUGGGUUGUUUUGACAUGGUCGACAACAUCAUAUUGCAAUGAAAAAAAAAACGAAAAAGAAGAAGAAAAUGUGAAUUUGCCUUCAUCAUAAUGAAUUUCUGUCAUUCUAGAGAAUGAGAUAUUUUUGGCACAAGAAGAUGACAAAAGUAAAGACAUAAUUGCUCUGCUUCAGUCUUUCACACCACACACUGUAAAUGUGUUAACUAUAAUGGCUCCUCACCAUUCCAUCACCAUGCUUGCUAGGUAGCUAAAGUGGCUGUCAUUGCCCACAAAACAACAAAUAUUGAAAAUAAAAUUCAUGUUCUAUAAGAGCAUAUAGUACUAUUGCUCAUAAACUCUCAUAUUCAUUGGUGAGUUUGGUUUGGAGUAAAUUAAUGGAACCGUUGCUCAAAGGCAAAAGCGAAGCGGAGGCAGCUGAUGAUGACUACGCGGCAGUGAGGAGCUUUGAGGAGGCCAUGUGGGUCUCUUGGAAGGAGGCAGCCAAGCUCUGGAGAAUUGCAGCUCCAGUGGCGUUUACAACUCUGUUUUAGUACCUGGUUGUGUCUGUCACCACCAUCUUUGUGGGUCAUCUCGGAGAUCUUGAGCUCUCUGCUAUUUCCCUUUCUGUCACUGUCAUCUCUGGCAUCCCUUUCGGUUUACUGGUUUACAUCUAUUUACAUCUGCUUCUGUUUCUAUUUCUAUUUCUAUUUCUAUAUAUAUGUGUAUAUAUGUAUCAUAUGUGUUCAUGUAAAAAUGUGACUGUUUACAUGCUUAUAUUGUUUUGAGUUGUUUACUCUUAUUAAUUAAUUAUAGGGAAAGGUUUAACUUUUGAGUGAGUUCAGUUACAUUUAUUAGGUGAAUAUAUGGUCACAUUCUCCUCAGUCUUUUGGCUAUAUAUAUAUAUAUAUAUAUUGAGAGAGAGAGAGAGAGAGAGAGAGAGAGAGAGAGAGAGUAUAUAGCAUAGCAGGUUGCACGUCUCCUUUUGAUUUUCUGUUAAAUGCUCAAGGGCUGUUUGACUUGAAUAUUUGUAAUUCUGUGGCCAAUUGCAGCGGCAAUUUUUAGAAAUGUUGCUUAAGAGAUGACUUGUGUUGGAGGAAUGAAAGAGAGACUAAUUUAAUUUAGCUAUGCAUUUAUGUAUGUAGCAAGGUAUGGCAACUGCACUGGGAACGCUUUGUGGUCCGGGUCUGUAGACCCAUGGACAUUUAAAAGGUUGAGUAAAGGUUUGUUAGAGUUUUGAGCCUUUGUGCCUUUGGGUCCACCAUCUGUGCUCGCAUCCACUUUGGGUAGGGUUCAAAAAUCUCUUUUAGGUCAUGAGGGAGCCAAAAGCCUCCCAUGAUCUUUAGUCAGACAAAUACUUUAAUGGAUUCAAUUAUUUUUUGUGUUUUAAGAAAUUAUUUGAUUGCAAUCAUAAUUCAAUCAAAAAAGUCAUUAGUCAUAAAGAGUCAUUACAAUUACGGAGAAGUAAUAUAACAUCAACAUUAUGACAAUCUAAUGCACCUCCAUUAAUAAUCACGCAGAGAUGUUAAAAUUUUGAGAAAAUAUCAGAUUUAUUCAGGUCCAUUCAUUUCAGCAUUUAUUGAUGUUUAGUACCAGAGACGUGGACAAUGGAGCAUCGAUUACCAUAUCAACUUUUUAGUUUGUGUGUGUGUCUGGUGCUGAGAAAAUCUUACCAAGUUGAAGGUGAGGUGGUUGGAUUCUUGUGCUGCUGCUGUGCGGUGCAAACAAGGGAAAUAAUUACACAUGGAUACGUACGUUGACAAAUAUAUGUUCCAUUGAGCAUGUAUAAUGUAUGGUGUGGGGCUUAGCUUAGCUAUAUUUGUACCAAACAGUCCGCAUUUCAAAUGGGAGGAGGAAACUUCGAUGUCUCAAGAGCGAUUGGUAGGUGGGCGAGAGAGUGGUGGUUCAAAACUUCAUUGCUUGGUUUUUGAAAUUACAUUGGAAAAUUUGAAUGGUGGGCUUUGAGUUUACGUUAGUCUAGCUAAAUCCAAGACCAUUCUUUGUCAAAUCUAUUGUAAUUAUUAACCAUCCAUAUCCCUUGGACGUUCUUUGAUAUUUGCAAACCUUCUGAGUUGUGACACUGACAUUCACCAAUGAUGAGUGAGAGCCACGUUCUUUGAUAUUUGCAAAAUUGGAGCAAGACGAGCUCAUGCAAAGCAUAGCUUACCUAAUUUGAUUUUUCUUUCUUCUAGAUUAAAAUUAACAAUACUUUGCAAAGUUUUCCACAAGCCGUGCAGAUUUUUUUUAUAGUACAAAGUCUACAUUACAAGAGGAAUGAGGAAGGGAAGUUUCACACACAUUAUUAACAGGAACGGACCUAGAAUUUCAAAAUAUGGUGGACUAAAUUUACCUUACUUACAAAACCUAAUUGUAAAUCCGUAAUUGAUAAUUCAUAACACUGAAUUGAAAAUCCCUAAUUUAUACUUCUUGAACCUUAAAAAAUCCCCAAAUUUUAGUAAUAAUAAUAAUUUAUACUUCUUGAACCUUAAAAUGACCCACCAAGAAAAUUGAACGUUUGAAGGGCUGAUGCAUGAAGUGGGGUAGGCUGUAGGGUGGGCUACAUGUGACUUUGGGCUGGAAAAUAAUAAAAGCCACCUAAGCUAUAACUCAAGUUAACCUGUGAUUGAGUCCAUCUCUGAUUGUUAAGGUGUUAUAAGGAUUCAGACUUGAGACUAAUAAUAUACAAAUCAAAGUCUUUUUACACAAACCGUGCAGAAUUUAUUAAUUAGUUCCUAAGCAAGCCUUGAUAUAUAGAUUCACUUGGAUUUAAAUAGGUUGCAGUCCAGCACUAAUUGGGAUUGUUUCUUUUUCCAUUAAUUAACAAAGUACAAAAAAACAAAAUAAAUUACACUCGAAAUAAAGUAAUAUUUUAAGUCAAAGCAAAGGAGUAAAAGUCAAAGAAGAAGUAUAUAAGUAUGGGACUUCAUUCUCCCGACGUCACAUAACCAAAACCAAACCAAACCAAAACCCAACACACACCACACCACCCAGCCUUAGCACCGUCGGAUUCAUCUCCGGCCGCCAGCUAGCUCCCUCCCACUUCAUAUCAGGGCCGUGCACGCGUUCCUGCAGUAUUUAAUUCAUAUGGAGGCGCCACUGCUUCCGGCAGUGAACGGCGGCGAUGUUCGAGACUAUGAGCCGGUGACGAGCUGGAAGGAUGCUCGGUCGGUGACGUGGAGAGAGACUCAGAAGUUGUGGAAAAUAGGAGGGCCCAUCGCCUUCACAAUCAUCUGCAACUUUGGGACCAACUCUGUUUCCACCAUGUUCGUCGGACACCUCGGAAACCUUCAGCUCUCUGCCGUCUCAAUCUCACUCUCUGUGAUCUCAACCUUCUCUUUCGGCUUCUUGGUAAAUUAGCUCUAGCCACCAUUUCAUUUAUUAAUUCCAUGCAUUUAAUUCACAUACCAUAAUUCAUAUAUAAUUAAUGGGGUGCACGCAACGCGCAUGUCGUCAAUUUACAUAUAGCCUAGGUGGGGUGAGAUUUAAUAACUCUUGUCUUUUUCUACUUGAGUUAUGUUUUUAUGAUUUGGGUUUCUUAUGUUGCACUUGUCUUCUUCUUCAUGCUUUUCUUUUAUCUGUUUUUUUGGGAGACUUUGGAAAAGGCUAAAAGAGUGAGAAAUUUUUUAAAAGAAGCCAAAAUGGACAAAAUUGCCCUUAUUUAUUUUUGGAUUUCUUAAGGAAUCCUUUAUAUUUGCAUGUCUUUAAUUUAAAAGUUGAGAAGUUUUUCUGUCUUUUUUGAAAAAGUUUUGGCUUUUUUCAAAAGUGAAAGUUUUUUUGUAACUAAAACCUAAAUUUAUUUUUUUGUUUUUAGUGUGUGUUAGGUAUUCCUCAGUUUUCAAAAUAUUCUGCAUUUUUAUUUAUUUAUAUAUUAAAAUGGUUAAAUGUAUAUACUUUCUGUGAAUUAGACGGCACACACCUUUCCAGUCUCAGAGACUGACUAAAGUUGAGUGGAGAGUUUUUCUAUGUUUCUUAUUGGAAGUUGUAGUCUUUGAAUCAUACUCUGUUUCACAGUUGAGAAAAGCUCGGAAAUGAUAAGAGAUUUUGUAUGAGAGAGAGAGAGAGAGAGGAUAAUGAGCCCAAAAUAUUUGAAAAAUCAACCCAAUUAUCCUAAUGGAUUAGCCUUUGUAUUUUGGAUAAACCAUAUUAACUAACGGUGAAAAAUCAAAUUUAAUUUAACCAAUUUUUUUUAAAAUCGAAAUCUAAUUAAAAGGAACACUCAAAACUCUGUCUUUCCCCCCUUUGAAUUAUUCUAAUGGGUUGUCUUACUAAUAUGGAAUUAUGUAUGUAUGUAUGUAUGUAUGCAUGCAUGCAUGCAUAUGAUAGAUCAUUCAGAUCAAAUGCAUGAUUGAUUGAUUGGUAUGCAGUAUCGACUAUGUAUGUAGCUUAGCAGCAAAACCUAUGUCAUGGAAUUGAAGGAGCUAAAUUUGAUAAUUUGUACAAACUUGUAGCUCGGCAUGGGAAGUGCAUUAGAGACGCUUUGUGGUCAAGCAUUUGGUGCUGGAAGGGUUAACAUGCUUGGAGUGUACAUGCAAAGGUCAUGGAUCAUUCUAUUUACCAGCUGUGUCAUCCUCACGCCACUCUACGUUUUCUCUGCCCCGAUUUUAAAGCUUCUUGGGCAGGACGAAGAAGUGGCUGACCUUGCUGGAACCUUCACCAUAUAUGUCAUUCCUCAGUUAUUCUCACUUGCCAUCACGUUCCCUUCCCAAAAGUUCCUUCAGGCACAAAGCAAGGUUGCUGUUCUUGCAUGGAUUGGUUUUCUGGCCCUUAUUAUACACAUUGGAUGGCUCUUUCUCUUCAUUUACGUGUUGGAUUGGGGCAUCUAUGGUGCAGCUCUAGCAUUUGACAUCACAGGUUGGGAACUUGCGAUUUGUCAAGUUAUUUAUAUAAUCGGUUGGUGCAAUGAAGGGUGGAGUGGUUUUUCAUGGUUAGCUUUCAAAGACAUCUGGGCCUUUGUAAGGCUCUCACUCGAAUCAGCUAUCAUGCUUUGCCUUGAGAUUUGGUAUAUGAUGAGUAUAAUCAUUCUUACUGGACAUCUUGGCAAUGCUGUGAUUUCUCUUGAUUCACUUUCUAUCUGGUAAGGACCCAACUUCCUCCUUUUUGUUCUUGCAACCACUUUCUACUUCUGCUGCUGAUCCUUUGUUUUUUUUUCUUUUUCCUUCUUAGAUUAGAUGGUUUAUGUACAUUUCCGCAUUCAAAUUAUGAUGUUUUUUCUUGGAUUUUUACUCAAUCAAUUGGCAUUGCAGCAUGAAUCUCAAUGGAUGGGAAGCAAUGUUGUUCAUUGGAAUUAAUGCUGCAGUAAGGUAAGUACCAAGACUACUUUUAUCAUUUGGUGUACUUUGUAUGUCAUUGUCAUCAUACACAAACAACACUUUUUGAGGCAACAACGAUGUUGUGCUUACAAUUAUCCCUGCCGCUGAUUUUUCAGUGUUCGAGUUUCCAAUGAACUUGGAUUGGGACGUCCAAGAGCAGCUAAAUACGCUGUCUGCGUGACAGUCCUUGAGUCUCUGCUCAUUGGGAUUGUUUGCAUGAUUGUCAUCUUGAUAACCAAAGACUACUUUUCUGUCAUCUUCACAAGCGACGCGGAAUUGCAACAAGCUGUUGCUAAGCUAGCAUUUCUUCUUGGAAUUACCAUGGUUCUUAAUAGUGUCCAACCCGUCAUUUCGGGUAUCAAUCGAGUCACUUGGCUUUUCCUCAGUUCCCUUUCUGUAUACAGGACUCUUCCCCCUUUUAAUUUUUACUGGAUUCAUGACUUCAGGUGUUGCUAUUGGAGGCGGAUGGCAAGGACUGGUGGCUUAUAUCAACUUGGGUUGUUAUUACAUUUUUGGCCUCCCACUUGGAUUCCUUCUUGGUUAUAAAGCAAACUGGGGAGUUAAGGUAAAACAUUUUCAGUCUCAGUUCCACAGCUAAAUGUUUGUGAGAUUCUUUCGUCUUCACGGUCUCUAAUCUGUGUUUUGUCCAGCUAGUUUUAAUACCAACAUUUGUUCAUUAUUUUAGGGAAUUUGGGGAGGUAUGAUAUGUGGAACUGCUCUUCAAACGUUGCUUCUCUUGAUAGUGCUUUAUAGAACCAACUGGAACAAGGAGGUCAGUUAAAUCUGUUAUAGGAAUCCAUAUGGUCCUUCAGUUUACUUUAUAACUGAUCACCAACAAGGAUUUUCAUUUACUUAUGUCUUCAGCAUUCUUGUUUAAAAGACAAUAAUCAUAAUCUUUUUUCUUGGCACAGGUUGAACAAUCUUCGGAGCGAAUGAAGAAGUGGGGUGGACAAAACGUUGAAUAUGAGAAGAUAGCUGACAACCAUAUAUGAACUUGAUCCUAAAAGAAAUUCACAUCAUGUUUCUCCUCCGACAAGAUAUCCUGAGUAACUAAAAUCUCCCUGCUUAUAUUGGCCUGAAUUUCUCUGGAAGUCAUGUUUUAGAGUUGCAGGGUGCUCUUCCAAAUUUUGUGUUGACAAUUUUAAACCAGCUUGAUUUGUUCCCGGCAGGAGAUUUUACCUCCCUGUCAGUAGUACAGAAUUUAAUUUACCUAUCAAUUUGAUUCAACUGGUUUGAUCUGAUUUCCCCUUUUCAGGGUUCUCUUUCAUAAUCAAUAGUUUAUGUUAAUUUUGGUACUAAAAGUCACUAUCUCUAAGAUCAAUAUGCAUAAGUUUAUUGUUAGAAUAGUAGCAAACAAGGGCUUGCAAAGGAGCAACAACAGAAAAAGAAACCAUAAUGCUAAAAACUAGCUUUCUCGGAGAUUCUCCAAUAAGUAUUUUAUGUUAAGUAUUCGUUACAUGCUUCUAAUCUUGGUCGUUGAAUUGUAUUCAUUAAAUAUGUUGAUAGUAUUUUAAAUGCAAUCCUACGGCCAUGCAGAAUUUAUUAAUUAGUUACUAAACAAGCCUUGAUAUAAUUAUACAUAGAUACACUUAGAUUUAAAUAGGUUGCAGUCUGGCACUAAUUGGGAAUGUUUCUUUUUCCAUUAAUUAACAAAGUAAAAAAAACAAAAUAAAUUACAGUCGAAAUACAGUAAUAUUUUAAGUCAAAGCAAAGAAGUAAAAGUCAAAGACAAAUUGGAACUAUAUAAAUAUGGGACUUCAUUCUCACCAAGUCACACGACCAAAACCAAACCAAACCAAAACCCAACACACACCAUCCCAGUUCACAACACCACCACCCAGUCUUAUCACCGUCGGAUUCAUCUCCGGACGCUAGCUAGCUCCCUCCCACUUCAUAUCAGGGCCGUGCACGACUUUAUGGCCAUAGAUGGAAAUAGACACAGAGAAGAAGACGGAGACAGAGGGAAGAGAAAAGAAGAAGAAGAAGGAAAAGAGAGAGAGUUUUCAAUUUUUAUUUUAUGACUAUUAUUUCAAUUUUCAAUUUUUUAUUUUAUUUUUUAUUUUUUAUUUAUUUUUAACGUACAAAAUGACUAUUUUACCCUCAUAUUUAACAGCAAAUUGGAUGAAAUGUUGCGAAUUUAGUACCCGUUUGGCAUUGCUUAUUUGGGGUAAUAAGUGAUUUUAAAAAAAUUUCGGGAAGCCCAACCUUGUUUGGUAACCUAUAAGAAAAUCACUUAUUUUUAAAAAUUGUUGUCAGAGAAAGUAAUAAAUGAAAGCAGCUAAUGACCUGCUUUCAUUUUCUGAUUAUACGGUAAUCAGAUUUGAGAAGCGCUGGGUUUUAAUGAACUUUACAAACUUCCGAAAAUACCCCAAUCUAUUUUCACGCUCUCUCUUCCUCCUUCCCUCACAUCAUGUUGCUUCUUCUCACAAUCUCUUCACAUAGCCCACUCCUCUCCUUCUCUUCCAUUAUGCCUACAGUUUUUUCUUGUUGGAUCAAUUGAAGCGCACUGCUGAGCCACAAGACUCAGGUAAGAGAUGCAUAUUAUGUUUAUUUCUUUUCAAUUUCAAUCGUCCCUCUUUCUCUUUAAUUUCUAGGGUUUUAACUAUCUUCCCAAAUGGAAAAAUGUCAUUCUCAUGCCAAUACGUGAUAUAGAAAACCAACAGCAAAAACGCACUUGGAAAAACAUCCCUGUUGUCUUUGUCUGUUGCUCUGUUACUGUUUGUCUCGCUUGCUCUGUUACUGUUUGUCUCACUUGCAAAAAAUAUCACAUCCUUCCUCACUUACUCACUCUUUCUCUUGUUGUUUCUCUCUAUUUGGGCAAAUAGAUUUCGAGGGGGUCAAACCUCCAAAGCAUAAAGCUCUUAUUUUUACUUGGAAUUUUCUAUAUUACCUUGGUCAUAACCUUCAAAGCAUAAAGCUCUAAAGAACCUCUUGGUGGUUUUAAAUAUUUUUAUAUUUCACUGUACUUGAAAUGCUUGCAUUUGUGUUAAUAUGAUAGAUUUUGUUAUGGUCUUGUUUUGUUUCUCUUCCUAAUCUCUGUAUCCUGAAAAACUAUUAUUGAUUCAUUGGUUAUGUUUUCAGUUUGAAAUUUUGGGUUCUAGAUGAAUUUUUAUAUCAGUAGUGAGCCACUGUUAUUUGGUAUCUUAUUGAGUUGCAAGUUGGUUAGGUGAAUUCUUUUUAUUAGUUUGGAGAUAGAGAUAAAGAAAGUGAAGUGUUGCCAGUUCAAGAGGCUUUCUAUUUCUGGUACUGUUAAUUACAGAAGAGUUUUGGUAUUUCCAAACUAAUUCAUGUACCUUAGUUAAUGUAGGGGUCCAUACAAACUUUCCUGGUGAAUAUCAGCUUCACAAGCCUGAACAAUUGAAAUAUUUCUAUCCCAAGCAUUUCCCUAUAUGUUAUAUAUAAUAUUUGAUUGAAAGAUAUUUGGGUCAUUAAUAGUUAAUGUGCUUUGAUCAUAUCGUUGAAACAUUUGAGGAAAGCUUGUUUUAUUUUCAUGUGUGUCUGAGGGGGGAAGAAAGCUGUGUUAUGAAAAUUUUAUUGUGAUGGCAACCUUUUGGUUUAUUUUGUAGAGUUGAAUGACAAAGCCUUUGAACAGUAAGUGGUAGUUUGGGGCUGGGAUUACUUGAGGUGUAUAGUUCAACUUUGGACAUUUUUGUAGGCAUUUCAAAUCAUAGUGACUUUCAACCCUAAAUCCUAAAAUGGUAGUGACUUUGUUCGGUGUUGUUUCUUGUUUUAGGGGCUAGUUUCCACAAGCAGUGUAAAUAAAAACUUGGAUAUUUAUGAAAUACUCUGUAUUUCGUAUCCUAAAAAAACAAAAUGAUUGAAGGAGAGUAUGAGACUUUUGGAAAUGAAAGUCGUUGCCAUAAUAUGUUUAGGAUGGAUAAAGAUGUAUUUACAUGAUUGUGUGAUGAAUUGCAAAACAAUUAUGGAUUAAAGGGUUCAAGAAGAAUGAGUGUUGCUGAGAUGUUAGGGAUGUUCUUGAACAUCUUAGGACAUGGAUCUGCAAUUAGGCAAGCACAAGAUCGCUUUCAACAUUCUGGUGAGACUGUGAGCAGAUAUUUUAGUAUCUUACUUGAUGUUGUAUGUCGUUUAGCUGUGGAUGUAAUUAAACCAUUGGAAAAUGAGUUUAACAACACUCCAAAGGAAAUCUUACAGGAUUCUAGAUAUAUGCCUCAUUUCAAGGUAACUAUUGCAUCUACUAUUAAAUAUUUGUCUAUGUUUUAUAAUGUUAUAAUUAAUAUUAUGUUUGUCUUUUUAUCACUUGUAGGAUUGUAUUGGUGCUAUAGAUGAUGUUCAUGUGCAAGCUGUAGUAUCUCCUUCUAAUCAAAUACCAUUUAUUGGUAAAAAGGGGAUACCUACCCAAAAUGUGAUGUCUGCAUGCAAUUUUGACAUGCAAUUUGUAUUUGCAUGUGCCGGAUGAGAAGGCACGGCCCAUGACACAAGGAUAUUUCUAUCGACUUUACGUGAUCAAAGUUUGAAUUUUCCUAAACCUCCAAAUGGUACUAUUUCUAUCUAAAGAAAAAGAAAUUCAUAUAAUUUAUAUUUAAAUUUUUUUACAUUGUGAAUAAUCUAUUAAAUUUUUUUAAGGAAAAUUUUAUCUAGUAGAUGCGGGAUACCCACAAAUGAGAGGCUACUUAGGACCAUAUAAAGGUGAAAGAUAUCAUCUUCCUGAUUUUCGUAGGGGUGUUCAACCGAUGGGUCAUAAAGAGGUAUUUAAUCAUGCACACUCUUCCCUGAGAAGUGUUAUUGAACGCACUUUUGGAGUAUGGAAAAAGAGAUAGAGUAUUUUACGCGACAUGCCUAGUUAUCCUAUUGCAAAACAAGUCAAAAUAGUUAUUGCAACCAUGGCACUUCAUAACUAUAUAAGAAGACAUGCCAAACGUUAUUGUCAUUUUGAUGAAAGUGAAGAUGACCUAAAUGGUACUCAAGAUGAAGAGAUUGAGAAAGAGGUUGAUGCACAACAAGAAAAUGGUCAUGUAACACAAGAAAUGGAGGCAUUGAGAAAUCAUAUAGCAGCAAGUUUAAUGAGUUCAUCUGGUUAGAAAUGUAUAUGAUUGCUUGUUUAUGACUAGUUUAAUUUUUGUUAUGACCAUAUUAUUGACAAUAUAUUUAUUUUUAAUUGAAUACUUUAUUUAUUUUAUAAUUAAAAUAAUUUUUACGGUGUGAUGGAAACAUAUUUAAUACAAAAAAAAUUAUAUACGUUAAAGUGAAAGUGCUUUUCCUUUUACCAAACACUUGAACAAAAAAGUCAUUUCAAUAUAAUACCAUUUUUAGUCAUUAUACACAGCUUAUAGAACUUUUACAAAAAAAUUUACCAAACACUCAAAAACUGAUUAUUGUACAAACAACACUUAUAACAAAAAGUUUACCAAACGCCAAACUGCUUUCUCUCACAGCUGAUUUCUCUCACAGCAAAUCUGACAGCGAUUAUUUUCAUAGCACAGCAAUGUCAAACUAACCCUUAGACGGCAGGGGGGAAAUUGGCCAAAAAAAAAAAGUUUAUAUCCUUAAUUUUCUAAAAAAAAAAAAGAUAGGGAGUUAAUUGAAAGUAAGGUACAAAUUCAGGGGGCAAAUCGCUAGUAUACCAAUUCUUGAAAACCGUCAACCAAGUAAAUAAAAAACAGGGCCUCUUUAUAUAUUUUGGCGAACGAAGAGAAGUUCAUUGAACAGAAAUUCAUUCCAAAAAACAGUGAAAUUGAUAACAAUUGCCAAACCACCCUACUUUGCACAUCCACCGGAGCAGGGUUUUAUGUCCCUUGAAUUCCCAAUUCAUCAACCAUUGCAGAUCGUGUUCCUAAUCGUUAAGGUCUCGGUAAAAAGGCUAACACGAGUUAAAACAAUGAGAAAAUGAUGCUUAUCGAGUCCUUUGAUGCCACGUUGACAUGAUUCCAUAUGAAUCUAAUCAAUCAUUGACACUGAAGUGGUUCCUAUAAACCAACCGUGGCCAAUUAAGUAGGCUAGCUGCAUCUCAAAGGACAAUUACUCAAAGAGCAGGAGAUAAAGAAUUGAGAGUCAUUCUUAUCUUUUGAAAAAUGGACAGAAAUUAGUUUCUUCCACUCCUCACCCAAAAUAUAAUACACUGUACCCUAACAGAACCAAUACACGCGCACAUUCUACAAAAUCAACUUUCAAGCGUAACCAAAGUUGGGAACCAUAAACAGAACAAUUCGGGCGACGCUACAGCAGGCAUUUGUUCUAAUAAGAAAGCAUAUAUAAAUCUAAUUAAAAACAGGUAGGCUGCCGAGUAGAAGAAUGAAAAAUUGAAUUUACUUCCUGCAAAAUUUUAGUAAGAUGUGGGAUACAAUUUAAACCUUACUUUAAAGACAAAAUUUCUAGGGUAGAGGACAGCAUUAGUAUUGUGCCAAAAGCAAGCUAAUGCAUAUGAGUGAUGCAGCAUCAGGUGGCUAAAAUAAUUACAUCCUCACCCGUUUCAACAUAUCAGAUCAGACAUCCUGGAUAUCUACCUUCCCUUGAUACACACCUAACAAUUCAGGUACUUCGCCAAGAUAUCUGUUCACAAAAAUCUCCAAGAACUGCUUCUCUGCCGGUUUCAGCAGAGAACCCAGAUUCAAGUUCUCAUUUAUGAAACCUUUCAACAGCAGAACUUUAACAACAGAGCACCUUGGGAUAAGUCUCCUCUCCAAACUGAGACUGAGGACCACAGGAUAUUUGGCAAUCAUUCCUGACGACCAUCCCAUCUUGUUCACUAAAAGAUCCAUUGCUUGCAUAAGUUUCUUCUCCGAGACAAUCAUACACCGCGGGUUCUUCCUGAAAGCGGAGAGAAAAUCAUCCUCAGACCAACCCCAUGUCUUAAGAACUUCGCGACUUCUACUCCAUACCAACUUAUUCUUGCCGCACAAUGCACACAUGGCAUUCACUGAAGUUGAUUUUUCCAGAUUAAAUCCCAUUUCCUUAACCUCACUCACAAGUUGACCAAAGUUUUCAGGAUUUACCAUCAAAACGCGAGUACCAUGAGUUAGCAAAAAAGAAAUGCAUGGUUGAGGCAUGCCCAAUUCUCUCAAAAGCCCAAUAUUUGGCACCACAUGCUUGCAGUGACCUUCCAAGAAAAUCCAUGAGUUGCGUUUUAAAACAGCAACAACAUUUUUCUCAGAGAGCAUACUCCUGAGGAAGUUAUAAGUGGGCAAAAUCCGAUUUCUCAAGCUGACUGACAAAAGGUGUGGAUUAAAAGCCAGAGUUUUUGCAAAGUCCACUUUUGAAAUUUCAAGAGAGCUGAAAAACUCAAGCUUUGGCAAAAGGGUUUUCUCAGGAUCAGCUGAAAGAAGUUUUGGAUGUGACCUAAUAAGCUUUGAUAUCUGGGUUUGAGAUGCUCCAUGGUUUCUCAGAAGCUCUAAAACGGAGUCUGCUCUUUCUGGUGACUGCAACUCGACCCACUUAGAAGCUAAAAUCGCUCCUUCUGGGGACAAUCCACAAGUGUUUAUGAGGUAAAUGACUGUGAAAUUGUGUUGGUUUUCUGAGAUUUCAGAGGUGAUGUGUCUGCAGAGCAACUGACUCUGAAGAGAAAAAUGUGAGGGUUUUGGAUCUCCAACCAACACUCUGUUUGUUUUGGAAGCAAAUGUACAAGAAAAUAUUGAGUGACCCAAUCUGAAGGUCUUCAAAUUGCAGAGUUGAAUCAUGUUAGAGGUUGAUGACGAACAAUUUCUACAGAAAAACUUAAAGCCCUAGCUGAUUCUCUGCCUUUAGAAAGUAUGCAGUUCUCGGCAUUCAAAAAAGAUCUGAACCAUCCAAAUAAAAUUGCCUGGUAUAGGAUAAACCAUUGCAGCUAGGGUAAGUUUUCUUACCAUUUUCACAACUGACGGCCACUGACUUACUGCUGCUAUCCAUGGUGGUAGGAAAUAUUCUGCCAGAAAAACCUCUUCAGUCUUCAUAGGUACAAAUCAAAGCAAAGCAAUUACUCCAAUCCCAGGCAACAAGAAAACCCAAAAAAAGGGUUGAAUUUCAAAGUUAAAAACAGUCGAGGGCAUUUGUUUUUUUGGGACAAAGGGCGAAGAACAUUUGGGCGAUGAUGCUUUGGUUUAUAGACGCUCGACGUGGUUACUCUCAAGUGCGGCCCAGAAGCAAUUUGAAAGCGCCACUUUUUGCAAUUGGAAUUUGGAUGUAGGAGUUAUUUACAUUUUACGGUGUGUUGUCAAAAUCCUUGAGGUUUCGAAAAUUAGGUGAUGACGUACCUGAAGUUUCAAAUUCUUCUCACAAAAUUUGGUAUCAUUAUUUUUUCGUCCAAAAGUUAAUGAUUUCAUAUAUAAAAAUACUUACACAAAUAACAAAUAACAAAUUUAAUCUCGAUUCGAUUAAAAAACUAACUUGUAAGGGGCUUGAAGCUUAAUUGGUUAAGAAGAUAUAUCUCAUCCUAAGUUCAAUUCCCUCUUAUUGAAUUUCGCUUGUAAAAAUCUAAGUACUAAAUUUGUUAUUAUUUGAAGACUUUUUUUAUAUAUAAAAUCAUCAAUUAUAGAAGGACAAAUUAAUGGAAAAAGGUUUUGAGAAAACAAUUUAAAACUUUAUGGAGUAUGCUGCUAUUUCCACCCACCUAUCAUAUUUUCCCACAAACUUUAUCUUCAAAAUUUUAACGACAAAUUUACCCAUUUGUAAAAUGACUUUUGAUGACAAAUUUACAACUCUAUCUAUCUCUCUAACAAGCACCCACGCCCACAAUUUUUUUUUUUAAACCCAUACCCAUCUUCAUACCCAACCCACCAAAUAAUAAUAAUAAUAAUAAUAAUAAUAAUUCCAUAUUCGCACAGUAAUUACCAUCAUUCAACAUCAAAUCAUGUACCACUUCACACCAUCCCCAAAGCUUCAUUUAUAUCAAUAUAACAACUAAUAACCACAAUUAAAUAAUAUUAUAAUCUUAAAAUUAAACGACUAUAAACAUACCUUAUAAAUGUUCAAAGAGUAAUGUACACUAAAUCAAAAGUCCAAACACUACCAAAACUUGUUAUACGGCCUCAACAACACAUUUAAAAUCAAACCCUAGUUCCCGAGACUUCACGCGGACCCACCACCUUAGAGAAGUCCUAAGGCUAUUCUAGUACUUUACAAAGGACGGGAUAGUCUCAAAAAACUCUAGGUCAAUGGUUUGUUCAAACUUUCCAUUUUUUUGUCAAUAGGGCCUGCGAGGCCCAUGACUUUUGAUUUCAAGACCAAAAGUUCCUAGAGGUCCAACCAGGUCUACUAAACACAUCCUGAAAGUUUGGUUUCGAUCGAGUGGUAAGAUCGCUCUUGAUUGCGCGAUCAGACGGUCACCGAUUUACCAAACCCUAAAAUCAUUGAUUCAGAGUAUCCGGAACUCUGAUUCUCAAGCCGUGAGUUCCUACACGAUCUCAGAGGCACGAGAAAUGACAUACUUGGAAUUGGAGCCAAUCCAAUGGUUCAAACAUAUCAAACCCAUAUAUUGCUUAAUAGGCGUAAAUCUGUUCGACUGUCAUACGAUAACCAAAUUCGAAUCCUAGCAUACUGUCGCGCUCGGGACUACAUGGAGAACAUUUUAGAACACAAUGGGCCACCACACCAUGGCCCACGCCCCGCCACAAAUGUCGGCAGCGCAUGGGUGGAUUGAGAAAAUUUCGGCUAUGUAAAAUUCUCGAAACACCCUACAAUACCUAUACCAAUACGUUCAGACUAACAAUGGGAACACUUUUUUGUUUCUUGGACCAUGGUCAAAACGCGACCGGAGCUAGAUGAAAUCACGACCAAAACACCUGCCUAAUAUGGGUAUAUUGAACGAUCUGUAAACCUCAAAAUCGAUUUACAAUACGUAUAUAAACAGAUAGAGCACGAAGAGUAGAUGAAGUUUCAUACCUAACUCAACGAAAAUGGCGGCCAGAGUCGCUGAAAACGGCGUUAAAAACUUCUAAAAUCACCCGAACUUCCAAUCGUUCCAAUUUAAUUUCCUUGGGUUUUUGAGCUGGGAAAAUGAGUGGAUUAGAUAGAGGACGUCGAUACGAAACUUUUGCAACCAAUUUCACCUUAGUCGGACACUGGACGACAACGAAAUCGCAGUCAUAAAUUUGAUGCUGCGUGCGGAGGAAAGAUAGAGAGAGAGAGAAAGCUUAUCUGUUUUUAAAAUCCAACUUCGAAAAAUUUACGGUUGUGCCACUACACUUCCGUUGACCACAAUUUCUUCAUUAAAACCCCAAUUUGGGCCUACUACGUGUCCACAAACUCGUGAGAGCGAGCUCUACACAAUGGUGUCACUCAUUUCCCCUAGAUCCUUCUAGAUUAAAAGUGACCAAAUUACACCUACUCCCAAGGGUAAAAUUAUAAUUUCACAAAAGAAUUAAAUUUGAUUAAAUUGGGUCAAGGAUGUUAGAGUACGGAUUUUUGGUAAAUAAAGCCCAACGUUUUGUAAAAUGAACCCAAUAGCCCAUUUUGGCUAGUGCGUAGAUUCUAGAAAUUUGUCUAAUCUUAUACCGAAUGUUUUGGGGGUGCUUUUUUAUGCCAUGUGUUCUCUUAUGUGCAUUUAGGGCUUAAUAAAAUAGUCUCAUUUCGUCAUAUUUUUAUUGCACAAAUGCGUAUUUACGCAUCAAAAUUCAACACUUCGGUAUUUCUCUUCCAAUUUCAACCAUAAUUCUCGUUGUCUCCAAAUGGCUUCAAACAUGACUCCAAAAAUGCGUGGAUGCAUAGUGGCUUGGAACACAAUCCUAAAAUGUGUUAGUUGCUUGAUCCGAUCAUCAAUUUCAUUCAGAGUGACGAUUUUUUUUUUCUUUCAACAACUCUUCUACAACAUUUGACCAUUUUUUUUCUUGUUGAAAGUCACAAGUUUUGUCAACUUACCCCAAAAAAGAAAAAAAAAAAAAAAAAAAAAGAGGCCAAAAUAGUAAUACUAAAGUCCUUAUCUAACCUCCCGUAUCUCUUCAAUUGAGAGAUAUUUGAGGUUGACCCUUGUAGGAAGCAAGUGCUGAGUUCUUCAAAGACUAGGUAGAUGGAUAAUUCAAAAUUUUACCCAAUUUAUGAGGAUUUGAAUUUCAGCAAAGUGUUUGAUAGCAUUCUUGCGCUCCAUGAAUGAGGGGGGAAUUGAUUCUAAACAAUUUUAAUUGGGGAAAAGAAAGCCCACACUCCAACAAAUAUUGUGUAUGUGGACAUCGAGGACUAAAAAUAUGUGUUUUAGCUAAAAUAUAGAAGAAGCUGAGAAAAAAGAAAAAUUAGCCCAGCCCGGUAUAAAUUCCUUGUUCCGCCCUUAUUUGGGUGGGCUAAGGAAAUUUAUGUGUGGAAAGGGGAAUGGAGGAAGGGCCUGUAAAGAGGGAAGGGGGAUUGGAUUUCAAGAUGGGCGGGGUUGGUUGGAGCCGUUGGUGGUGCACAUAUGAUGGGGUAAGGUGAUAAUUUUUUUUAUUUUCAAUUUUUUUUUUAUAAUGAUUUUUCUAUUCUUAAUAUACCCUUGAAAAUGGAAAAACUAAAAUAUCCUUAAAAAUAUAUGGAAAAUUGGAUGGUGUUAAAGUGAGAUGACAAAUCAUGAAUUUUGAAAAAUUAAGGUGACACUUCUCUUAAAUUUUUCUUAAUAACAAAUUUAUUUCAAGGUAUAAGUUCAUGUAACAUUUAAAAAAAAAAAUUAAAAUCCCUUCAGGAAAUUAAGUGCUUGCAUAACAUCAGAAAAUUCAUUUUCAGGCACUUAUUUUCUCAUGGCUUGGGGCAAUGAAUUGCAUGUAUGCCAACUAAGAAUCAAUUCUUGAAAACUGUCAACCAAGUAAAGAAUAAACAAGGCAUCUUUUUAUAUUUUGACGAACAAAGAGAAGUUCCACGCAUCUUUGCACAACCAUUAGUGCGGGAUAGAUUCAUCCUAAAUAUAACAACUGCCAAACCACCCUACUUUGCACAUCCAUCAGAGCCGGGUUUUAUGUCCCCUGAAUUCCCAAUUCAUCAAGCAUUGCAGAUAUCGCGUUCCGAAUUGUUAAGGUCUCGGUAAAAAGGCUAACACGAGAGAAAACAAUGAGAAAAUGAUGCUUAUCGAGUCCUUUGAUGCCAUGUUGACAUGAUUCCAUAUGAAACUAAUCAAUCAUUGACACUGAAGUAGUUCCUAUAAACCAACCGUGGCCGCUUAACUAGGCUAGCUGCAUCUCAGAGGACAAUUACUCAGAGAGCAGGGGAUAAAGGAUUGAGAGUCAUUCUUAUCUUUUGAAAAAUGGACAGAAAUUAGUUUCUUCCACUCCUCACCCAAAAUACAAUAUAUUGUACCCUAAUAGAAGCAAUACAAGCGCACAUUGUACAAAAUCAACUUUCAAGGGUAACCAAAGUCGGGAACCAUAAACAGAACAAUUCGGGCGACGCUACGGCAAGCAUUUGUUCUAAUAAGAAAGCAUAUAUAAAUCUAAUUAAAAACAGGUAGGCUGCAGAGUAGAAGAACGAAAAACUGAAUUUACUUCCUGCAAAAUUUUAGUAAGAUGUGGGAUACAAUUUAAACCUUACUUUAAAGAGAAUUUCUAGGGUAGAGGACAGCAUUAUAGUAUUGUGCCAAAAGCAAGCUAAUGCAUACGAGUGAUGCAGCAUCAGGUGGCUAAAAUAAUUACAUCCUCACCCAUUUCAACAUAUCAGAUCAGACAUCCUGGAUAUCUACCUUCCCUUGAUACACACUUAACAAUUCAGGUACUUCGCCAAGAUAUCUGUUCACAAAAAUCUCCAAGAACUGCUUCUCUGUAGGUUUCAGCAGAGAACCCAGAUUCAAGUUCUCAUUUAUGAAACCUUUCAACAACAGAACUUUAACAACAGAGCACCUUGGGAUAAGUCUCCUCUCCAAACUG